rnacentral:rRNA from 1 species
AAUUUUGGACAAGGGGGGAAACCCUGAUCGAGCCAUCCCGCGCGUGGGAUGAAGGCCUACGGGUUGUAUAGCACGUUUGACCGUGAAGAAAUAGCAGGGGCUAAUAUCCUCUGUGAAUGACUGUACCUGUAGAAUAAGCACCGGCUAACUACGUGCCAGCAGCCGCGGUAAUACGUAGGGUGCAAGCGUUAAUCGGAAUUACUGGGCGUAAAGGGUACGCAGGCGGCUAGGAAAGAAAGAUGUGUAAUCCCAGGGCUCAACCUUGGAACUGCAUUUUUAACUAACUAGCUAGAGUAUGUCAGAGGGGAGUAGAAUUCCACGUGUAGCAGUGAAAUGCGUAGAGAUGUGGAGGAAUACCGAUGGCGAAGGCAGCCCCCUGGGAUAAUACUGACGCUCAGGUACGAAAGCGUGGGGAGCAAACA